UACCACCACCAUGAUCCACGUGUGUGCAAGUGGUUCACAUUAUGAACUCUACUAGUACUAACCAUAUCAAUGAUGCCAAAACAGAACAUGAUGCUACCAGCAACAUUAAAUAUCCUAAUCUCCAAAAGCAAACACCAAUACUGAUUUCGUUGGUAGGUAUGAUUCAACAGGAAAAGGGUUUAAGGAAAUGAAUCACAGAGGAAGCCUAGAACAUACAUAAACCACCCUCAUAUUUGCAAGAUUACACACAGAAGGUCACAUAUAUCUUAUUCAAAAUUAAUAAUCAGUUAUGCUAAACUUUCCUCUUCCUAUAGAGAUUAUGUCUUGCAAAUUUCCUCUACUGUUCAGCCAGAAUUUAAUCAUCAAGCUGUAAAAUUUCCA
rnacentral:lncRNA from 1 species